CGAAGCCGGAGCUGAAGGGAGGCCGCACAGGGUUUGGAAACCAUGGCAACGUUCUUUCUGGCCUCGGUGUUCUCCUCUUUUUGCCCCCGGGCCUGGACUCUGCACCUAACAAAGUAAAAUAGUCGCUGAUGCAAAUCCUGCCGAAACAAGUCUUCCCAGGGAAUCGCAGUCCUUCGGCCUCUGAGAUCCUGCCAUUGGAGAAGCCAGGCCUCGCUGUUCCAGUCAGUAUCGGACUUGACACCUUCCCCUCUGGCCGCUGUUCACCUGGGCUGUUCCCCAGGCCGACCCCACAGUGAGUGCCUCUAGCUGAGACUACGCCACCGGGAAGCGGUAAAUCUGCGCACAAGAACCCACUAGUGCCCCCGUGGGAACCGCCCCCCCAGAAACCGGCAUCCUGCCCCUUCUCAGUGUCUUAGGAUCACGAUCCCUGCUCUGGUCCUUCUACAGGCGCGGCGGCCCGGUGAUGCAAUCCCGCGUAAAAACAAAAUCUGCAUGCAGUCCCCCAAAUCCACGUUUCCUGGGUCCAUUUAUCCCCAGCGUCUCGAUCUGCGUUCUCUGUCU